rnacentral:lncRNA from 1 species
UCGCUUUACUUGAAUUGUCUCUUCCUCAGCUAAUCAUACACAGAAUCUUCAAAUCAUCUCAUUUCUCUCUGAAGAGGAUGGAGCACUUGAUUUCUACUCUUUGGAGAUAGUGUCUCUGAGGACGGAGCCUUCUCAGGUGGAAUGAGACCUGGUGUAUGC